GACGAACGCUGGCGGCGUGCCUAAUGCAUGCAAGUCGCACGCGGCACCUUCGGGUGCUGAGUGGCGAACGGCUGAGGAACAAGAGGGGACCUGUCCGGGAGUGGGCUACACCACCGCGAAAGCGGUGCUAAUCCCGCUUACGCACUGAGGAGGAAAGCCGACUGGCGCUCCCGGGUGGCCCUGCGGCCCAACAGGCUGUUGGUGGGGGAACGGCCUACCAAGCCAAUGACGGGUCGCGGGACUGUGAGGACGACCAGCCAGACUGGGACUGGGUCACGACCCAGACUCCUACGGGAGGCAGCGGCAAGGGAGUGUCGGCAAUGGGCGCAAGCCUGACCGAGCGAGGCCGCGGGCAGGAAGACGGCGUUCGGGUUGUAAUCUGCGUUUGCUAGGGAGGAUAACAGACAGUACCUGGCGAAUCAGCCCCGGCUAACUCUGUG
rnacentral:rRNA from 1 species